UACGUAGGGUCCGAGCGUUGUCCGGAGUUACUGGGCGUAAAGCGCGCGCAGGCGGCGGUGUUGGCCCGGCGUGAAAGCCCCCGGCUCAACCGGGGAGAGUCGUCGGGGACCGCACCGCUUGAGGGCGGUAGGGGCUGGUGGAAUGCCUGGUGUAGUGGUGAAAUGCGUAGAGAUCAGGCAGAACACCAGUGGCGAAGGCGACUACCUGGCCUGUUCUUGACGCUGAGGCGCGAAGGCUAGGGGAGCAAACGGG
rnacentral:rRNA from 1 species